ensembl:rRNA 5S_rRNA 5S ribosomal RNA
ACCUACAAUGAAACUCCACUGGUUAAGCCUGUUCUCGUCCGAUCACAGAAGCAAAGCGGUGUCAGGCCUGCUCAGUACUUGGAUGGGAGACCACCUUGGAAUUCCAGGUGCAGUUCGGUU